rnacentral:rRNA from 1 species
UACAGAGGGGGCAAGCGCUGUUCGGAAUUACUGGGCGUAAAGGGCGCGUAGGCGGCCUGCUAAGUCGAACGUGAAAUCCCUGGGCUCAACCCAGGAACUGCGUCCGAUACUGGUUGGCUUGAAUCCGGGAGAGGGAUGCGGAAUUCCAGGUGUAGCGGUGAAAUGCGUAGAUAUCUGGAGGAACACCGGUGGCGAAGGCGGCAUCCUGGACCGGCAUUGACGCUGAGGCGCGAAAGCCAGGGGAGCAAACGGG